AGCCUUGAGGUGUUUACAUAUCAGAUUGCAAACCUGAAGUUGCGCGUUUGCACGCGCCGGGGCUU
rnacentral:tRNA from 1 species